rnacentral:lncRNA from 1 species
AAGAUAUCGGACAUUGUCCCUCUUGGCGAUGGCCUGAGAACCAAUCAUCACGUCCCUGCCUACUUCGCUCGGCUCGGCGCUAAACUUGCACUCCAUGUACCUGAAUACAACAAUAUAAACCAGAAAACUAGUUAGAACUAAGAAGAAGCAACAUCAGUAGAGAUUCAACAAGAAGAAAUGAAUAGCAGGGUCAACCCAGAAAUUCAACAACGGAAUAGUAGUCAAGGAACCCUCAAAUAUCUUUUAAAUCCAGAAUAAUCAACCACUUAGAAGAUUUCAAAAUUUGAAAGAUUAAACUGCAGGAUUAAACCAUUUCUACCCAAAGUGCCAAAAUUUUCAAGUAUUUCUCAACUCAAUCAUUUUCAGCCCUUUUUUGGAAGAUUUUAGUCUCUAAUCCAUGCCUUGCUAGUGAAAUAAAGAUGCUUUUAUACGCAAGGUAUUAGGGCAGCCUGAGAGGAUUCAGUUUUGCAUUCCUAACCUUUUGAUAUUUUCAUUUUAUCUCAGAUACUCUUAAUUCAGAAAUCAAGCUUUCAAAUUAACCCCAAUCCCAGCUUCCUAGAAGCUUCCCUAGUCUGUUACUGAAGUACCCCUAUGCCAAUUACCAGAAUACCCCUCACACCUCUGCCUUUUACUUUCAGGCAACCAAAUGGAUCAUAGGUCAAAUUGACCCAAUGGUUUAAGCCCCCAAAUGAAUGGGUUGUUCUUCGACAGUGGGUCGGCAUUAACAUAGGGCCCAAACAUAAUCAAAACCCUAUGUUGGCUAUUCAGUGAGAAAUCACAAAAAUUACAUAACUGAAAAUUUUCAAAAUUGACAUUCUCACUAAAUGACUGACUCACUUUUAAAUUAACCGAUGAACUACAAUUAAACCAAAUUAACAAUACCUAACUUAAGCUAAUUAUCAAAAGAAAAAUGUCAUGAUUAACCGAAGAAAAUAAGAACAACAUUCAAAACUUUGAAAAAAAAAACUAAAAAUCCAGCAAAGCAAUACGAACACUGAGUUAAUCGGAAAAGGAAAUUAGGCCGGAGACUUCCCAUCAACUUCCCAGUCGGAAACAAAAGAGACGGAGAAGAAAAGAAAGGGGUGGGAUGAUGAAAAACAUAAGACGAAGAGAAAAAAUGCAGAAAUCUUACCAAAUCAUAUGAAAUAAGGCUGGAGACACUGAUUUAGACGAAAAAUAAUAUUACUCAUUUGUUCUUUGUCAAUAACAAGUGAACAACAUCACUUUGCAUUGAAUUACCCUUCAAUCUUGUAAAAAAAGGAAAGUAUAUGGCCAUGCAAGCCACAGAAUCAAAGGUCUUACUACUUUGGCUUUUUGGGGCUUCGAACUCUGACCUUUUAUUCAAUAAUCGACGGGAUUGAGGAGGAUUUGAGGAGAGCUAUGCUGAAAUUUGGAGAGAGAAAGGUGAGAGGGUUCAAGGGUGUGAUCUUGAGGCGAGUAUGGGUGGUGCAAGGCUGCGCCGCCAACAAAAUUGAUGGUGAGCUUUCAAGGCGGUGGUCUCCCUAGGAAUAGAGGUUUGAGACGAAGAGAGAGAGGAGGGUCUGUUUGGUGUCUGCAGCUUUAGGACAUAUUUAAGUGACAUUAUGGAAGUG